rnacentral:rRNA from 1 species
ACCUGGCGGCAGGUUUAACACACGCCAGUCGAGCGGUAACAGGGGGAGCUUGCUCCCCGCUGACGAGCGGCGGACGGGUGAGUAAUGCAUAGGAAACUGCCCAGUAGUGGGGGAUAGCCCGGGGAAACCCGGAUUAAUACCGCAUACGCCCUUUGGGGGAAAGCAGGGGAUCUUCGGACCUUGCGCUAUUGGAUGUGCCUAUGUCUUAUUAGCUAGUUGGUGGGGUAAGAGCCUACCAAGGCUGACGAUCCGUAGCUGGUCUGAGAGGAUGAUCAGCCACAUCGGGACUGAGACGCUGGCCCGAACUCCUACGGGAGGCAGCAGUGGGGAAUAUUGGACAAUGGGGGCAACCCUGAUCCAGCCAUGCCGCGUGUGUGAAGAAGGCUUUCGGGUUGUAAAGCACUUUCAGUGAGGAGGAAAACCUUACGACUAAUACUCGUGAGGCUUGACGUUCUCACAGAAGAAGCACCGGCUAACUCCGUGCCAGCAGCCGCGGUAAUACGGAGGGUGCAAGCGUUAAUCGGAAUUCUGGGCGUAAAGCGCGCGUAGGUGGUUUGAUAAGCCAGAUGUGAAAGCCCCGGGCUCACCUGGGAACGCAUUUCGAACUGUCAGGCUAGAGUAUGGUAGAGGAGUGUGGAAUUUCCUGUGUAGC